AUAGAGAUAUAGUGGAGGUUACCGAUGGAGACAGGUGGGUGGCAUGGUUGUCGUCAGCUCGUGUCGUGAGAUGUUGGGUUAAGUCCCGCAACGAGCGCAACCCUUAUUGCUAGUUACCAUCAUUAAGUUGGGGACUCUAGCGAGACUGCCAGUGAUAAACUGGAGGAAGGUGGGGGUGACGUCAAAUCAUCAUGCCCCUUAUGACCUGGGCUACAAACGUGAUACAAUGGCUGAAACAAAGGGCAGCGAAGCAGUGAUGUGAAGCGAAACCCAAAAAAGCAGUCUCAGUUCGGAUUGAAGUCUGCAACUCGACUUCAUGAAGUCGGAAUCGCUAGUAAUCGCGAAUCAGAACGUCGCGGUGAAUACGUUCUCGGGUUU
rnacentral:rRNA from 1 species